ensembl:lncRNA
GGCCACUCUGCCCACAGCACAUGACACCUUCCGGUUGGAGUUACCCACGAUAUAAUCCAGCCUGGUCAGAACUCCAAGGAAGUCUCCUGGAGUCUCCUACAGAUAGGGUAUCAACCUGGCUGCCCUCAGGCUAUGGGGCAAGAAGAUGGCUGUGGUUCGCAGGAUUUGGGUUCCUGUUGCUGAAAAUUCCUGAGCUUUUGCAGAGUUCCUCAGUGCAAACGAGGCUACUUCUUCCUUCUCCUCUGCCAGGUUAAAAUCCUGUCUCAGGCAUGCUCAUCUACCAACUGCCGUUCGCCUGGAGACCCAUUAAAUUCAGCAGACAACCAAGAGAGCUUCAGAAGCCAAAGGUGAACAAGAAAUAAUCCUCAGACUCAGUGACUUAACAUGAACGUCUGCCUCCUCCUCUGAACAAAACCUGGAGCAGCGUGAACAAAAGAGUUUGUCACCUUGAAAGCCAAGUAGAGGAGAAGAGUAAAGCUAAAGAGGAUUAAUACUCAGGUCAUUCAUGCAUUCAACUCUUCAAACAUUUAUUGAGCACCAACUACGCACCAAGAACUGCUCUAGGUACUCGGGGUACAGCCAGGAAUAAGACACACAAUACCUCCACUCCCAUGGAGCUUACGAUCUAGUGGCAGAGACAGGCAGUAAAAAAGAAAAUGUCAGAGGGUAAUAAAUGCUAUGAAGAACAUGUAACAGGCUGAUGUGAUACGAGAAGCUGGUGAAACAGAGUGGACAGGAAAAGCCAAGCAGAUCAAAAAGCUAAGGUAAAAAUCUUAAGGUCAUGAAAAGACAUUGAGAAAACUUAAACAUAUAUUACUAAGUGAAAGAAGCUAAUCUGAAAAGUAUGAUUCUAGCUAUAGUAUGAUUCCAACUACAUGACAUUCUUGUCAAGGCAAAACUACGGAGAGAUUAAAAGAUUAGUGGUUGCCAAGGGUUGGGGAGAGGGAGAGAUGACUAGGAGAAGUAUGGAGGAUUUUUAGGGCAGUGAAGUUAUUUUGUAUACUAUAAUGGUGGACACACGUCACUAUACAUUUGUCAAAAGCCAUAGAAUGGACAACACCAAGAGUGAACUCUAAGGUAAACUUUGGACUUUGGGUGACAAUAAGGUGUCAGUGUAGGUUCAUCAAUUGCAACAAAUGUACCACUCUGGUGCAGGAUGUCCAUCGUGGAAGAGGCUAUGCAUGUGGGGGGAAUGGGGGCAGGAGAUACAUGAGAAUUCUCUGUAAUUUCUGCUCAAUUUUGCUGUGAACCUAAAACUUCUCUAAAAAAUAAGUCUAUUAAAAAAAAACCUCUUAAGGU